rnacentral:lncRNA from 1 species
GGCUUGUCUCAUACGUGAAAUUCUUAUCAAUUUUAUCAAACACAGGUGUGAGAUGAUAUUUUAACAUACGCCAAAUGGUGUGCAGUGUUUAUAACAAAUCUAACACAAUAGAUAAAUGCGCAGAAAAGCAGUAUCAUUUAGCAAGUGUUUGGCAGUAGCCUGCUGCAUCGAAACAAAGGAAGAUGAUAUACUGAUAAUUCGAAUGACAUAAAUGUUGCUUUUGAAAGGCGAACAGGGAAUCAAUACGACGAUCUGUUUAUACAAGAGAAAUAA